rnacentral:rRNA from 1 species
AUGGCGGCCGCUGGUUCCUCCGCCGCGUGGAAGAGAUGGCUCCGCCCUGAGGUGUACCCGAUCUUCGCGGCGACCGGCGUGGCCGUCUCCAUCUGCGCCAUGCAGCUCAUCCGCAACAUCACCACCAACCCGGAAGUCAGGGUGACCAAGGAGAACAGGGCGGCGGGGAUCCAGGAGAACUUCGACGAGGGGAAGCGCUACUCGCAGCACGGCUUCAGGAAGUUCAUCGACCGCCAGCGCCCCGAGAUCAUGCCGGCCAUCAACAACUUCUUCUCCGACCCUCCCAAGUAUUAG